GACGAACGCUGGCGGCGUGCUUAACACAUGCAAGUCGAACGAUGAUGCCAGCUUGCUGGUGGAUUAGUGGCGAACGGGUGAGUAACACGUGAGCAACCUGCCCCUGACUUCGGGAUAACCGCGGGCAACCGUGGCUAAUACCGGAUAUGACGCGCUAUCGCAUGGUGGUGUGUGGAAAGAUUUAUCGGUUGGGGAUGGGCUCGCGGCCUAUCAGCUUGUUGGUGGGGUGAUGGCCUACCAAGGCGACGACGGGUAGCCGGCCUGAGAGGGUGACCGGCCACACUGGGACUGAGACACGGACCAGACUCAUACGGGAGGCAGCAGUGGGGAAUAUUGCACAAUGGGCGCAAGCCUGAUGCAGCGAGGACGCGUGAGGGAUGACGGACGUCGGGUUGUAAACCUCUUUCAAUAGGGAAGAAGGCCUUCGGGUUGACGGUACCUGCAGAAGAAGCGCCGGCUAACUACGUG
rnacentral:rRNA from 1 species